GAUGAACGCUCGCGGCAGGCCCAACACAUGCAAGUCGAGGGAGAGGUUACCUUCGGGUAACCAAAACCGGCGCACGGGUGCGUAACGCGGAUACAAUAUGCCUUUCACAUAGGGAUAGCCCGAAGAAAUUUGGAUUAAUACCUAAUGGUAUAUAAGAGCGGCAUCGUUUUUAUAUUAAAGCUACGGUGGUGAAAGAUGAGUAUGCGUUCUAUUAGCUAGUUGGAGAGGUAACGGCUCCCCAAGGCGACGAUAGAUAGGGGUUCUGAGAGGGAUGUCCCCCACACUGGUACUGAGAUACGGACCAGACUCCUACGGGAGGCAGCAGUGAGGAAUAUUGGACAAUGGUCGGAAGACUGAUCCAGCCAUGCCGCGUGCAGGAUGAAGGUCCUAUGGAUUGUAAACUGCUUUUGUAAGGGAAGAAUAAGGAGUACGUGUACUUUGAUGACGGUACCUUACGAAUAAGCAUCGGCUAACUCCGUG
rnacentral:rRNA from 1 species